rnacentral:rRNA from 1 species
AUUGAACGCUGGCGGCAGGCCUAACACAUGCAAGUCGAACGGUAACAGGAAGCAGCUUGCUGCUUCGCUGACGAGUGGCGGACGGGUGAGUAAUGUCUGGGAAACUGCCUGAUGGAGGGGGAUAACUACUGGAAACGGUAGCUAAUACCGCAUAACGUCGCAAGCCCAAAGAGGGGGACCUUAGGGCCUCUUGCCAUCGGAUGUGCCCAGAUGGGAUUAGCUAUUAGGUGGGGUAACGGCUCACCUAGGCGACGAUCCCUAGCUGGUCUGAGAGGAUGACCAGCCACACUGGAACUGAGACACGGUCCAGACUCCUACGGGAGGCAGCAGUGGGGAAUAUUGCACAAUGGGCGCAAGCCUGAUGCAGCCAUGCCGCGUGUAUGAAGAAGGCCUUCGGGUUGUAAAGUACUUUCAGCGGGGAGGAAGGGAGUAAAGUUAAUACCUUUGCUCAUUGACGUUACCCGCAGAAGAAGCACCGGCUAACUCCGUG